AUUGAACGCUGGCGGUAUGCUUAACACAUGCAAGUCGAACGGCAGCACAGUAUGUAGCAAUACAUAUGGGUGGCGAGUGGCGGACGGGUGAGUAACGCGUAGGAAUCUACCCUAAAGCGGGGGACAACCCGAGGAAACUCGGGCCAAUACCGCAUAAUCUCGAAAGAGUAAGGCUGGGGCAACCUGGCACUUUAGGAGGAGCCUGCGUCCGAUUAGCUAGUUGGUGAGGUAAAGGCGCACCAAGGCGAUGAUCGGUAGCUGGUCUGAGAGGAUGAUCAGCCACACUGGGACUGAGACACGGCCCAGACUCCUACGGGAGGCAGCAGUGGGGAAUAUUGGACAAUGGGGGCAACCCUGAUCCAGCAAUACCGCGUGUGUGAAGAAGGCCUUAGGGUUGUAAAGCACUUUAGUUGGGGAAGAAGGAUAGUUGUUUAAGAGAUGAUUAUUUUGACGGUACCCAAAGAAUAAGCACCGGCUAACUCUGUGCCAGCCGCCGCAGUAA
rnacentral:rRNA from 1 species